rnacentral:tRNA from 1 species
GGUUUGUGGCUCAGUGGAAGAGCACUUGCCUAGCAUGUGUGAGGCACUGGGUUCAAUCCCCAGCACCA